GGAGAGGUGGCCGAGCCCGGUUGAAGGCGCUUGACUCGAAAUCAAGUGUACCCUGACGGGUACCGGGGGUUCAAAUCCCUCCCUCUCCGCCA
rnacentral:tRNA from 2 species